UGAAUGAAGAGAUAUUAGAAAUAAAAGAUUGAGGCCUGGCGUGGUGUUUCACGCCUAUAAUCCCAGCACGUUGGGAGGCCGAGGUGGGCAGAUCACCUGAGAUUGGGAGACCGAGACCAGCCUGAC